GACGAACGCUGGCGGCGUGCUUAACACAUGCAAGUCGAACGGAAAGGCCCUGCUUUUGUGGGGUGCUCGAGUGGCGAACGGGUGAGUAACACGUGAGUAACCUGCCCUUGACUUUGGGAUAACUUCAGGAAACUGGGGCUAAUACCGGAUAGGAGCUCCUGCUGCAUGGUGGGGGUUGGAAAGUUUCGGCGGUUGGGGAUGGACUCGCGGCUUAUCAGCUUGUUGGUGGGGUAGUGGCUUACCAAGGCUUUGACGGGUAGCCGGCCUGGGAGGGUGACCGGCCACCAUGGGACUGCGGUACGGCCCAGAGUCCUACGGGAGGCAGCAGUGGGGAGUAUUGCACAAUGGGCGGAAGCCUGAUGCAGCAACGCCGCGUGCGGGAUGACGGCCUUCGGGUUGUAAACCGCUUUCGCCUGUGACGAAGCGUGAGUGACGGUAAUGGGUAAAGAAGCACCGGCUAACUACGUG
rnacentral:rRNA from 1 species